rnacentral:rRNA from 1 species
GUGUCAGCAGCCGCGGUAACACGUAGGGGGCGAGCGUUGUCCGGAAUCAUUGGGCGUAAAGAGCUCGUAGGCGGCUCAGUAAGUCGGGUGUGAAACCCCCAGGCUCAACCUGGGGACGCCACCCGAUACUGCUGUGGCUAGAGUCCAGUAGGGGAGUGUGGAAUUCCCGGUGUAGCGGUGAAAUGCGCAGAUAUCGGGAGGAACACCAGCGGCGAAGGCGGCACUCUGGGCUGGAACUGACGCUGAGGAGCGAAAGCGUGGGUAGCAAACAGGAUUAGAUACCCUGGUAGUCCACGCCGUAAACGUUGGGCACUAGGUGUGGGGACCCUCCAACGGUUUCCGUGCCGUAGCUAACGCAUUAAGUGCCCCGCCUGGGGAGUACGGCCGCAAGGCUAAA